rnacentral:lncRNA from 1 species
GAUUUUUCUUAUGUUCCUACCCGCUUCAGAAAAAAGGAAAAUAGUGUGAGCUUCUCCUGGCUUUAUACUGAAGUUUUACUGCAAAAACCUUAACUCAGCCUCCCGUGUCUGUCUAUAACUCCUUUGUUCUCUGUUAACAUUGCUAAGCAGUGCACAUAAAAAAUGUCACUUUAUUCCAGUGCUGCCAAAUCAAUCUUUGUUUAUGAAUUGCCUUGUUUUAGCAACAACAGGUAAAGGGGAUAGAUACAUAGAUCCUGCUUUGUUAGAACCACAGCUUCAACAGAAGGAAUUCAAAAUCUCUUAACUAACAAGUUCACCAGAAAUCUGUAGCAGGAAGCUGCCCUCUAAAUUCAAGCUAUUUUAGACUUCCAUGGAGGGGUUAACUUGCAUGGAGAACAAGAACAGCAGAGGACUGGUUACCUCAGAAUGAUGUCACGGCCGCUCUUGUUACAAAAAAAGUCCCCGAGUCCCUGGGGAGGGGGUAGAAGGGGCACAGCUUUCCUGUAACUGGGCUAGAGCAGUCACUCAGUCUUUUACAACAAAUUAAAUCAUGCAGCGUGAGUCACGUUCCCUUUUGCUUCUCUCUGCCAAGUUCUAGGCACUGACCAGACAGACCAAGGGAGAGAAAAGGCAAAAUCAACACUGCAGGAAAGUUGAACUGAAACAACCCGUCUAUUCUGGAUUACAUUCCUGUACCAUAUGGAAAGAAGGACUGAUUGCUGUAAAGGAUGUUACCCAUUUCUGUGAAUUGAAGCAUGCUUCAGUCUUGGAAAGCAAGGGAAAAAAAUGUAAUAAGAAAACUGAACAAGGUUGCCAGAAUGGACAGGUUUUGACAAGACACAUCAGCAUGCUGCCUUCUGCAGGUCAAUCCCGCACCGGCUCCAGCCAACAGGAGCUGAAUAUCUGUUGCAGAGAAUGUUCCAGACUUCAAAAAAGCAGAAACCACACCCAGAUGUAACCGUUACUUCACCAAAUGAAAAGCCCCUCAAUUCAAUUCAAAUGCAUGGACACGAACAAAGCACGAACAAAACAGGUGAGCCUUGUAGUCUGCUCUGAGAUCAGCUAAUCUAUUUACAUGUCAAGUUGUCUGAGGCAGGAACUAUAUUUUUGCAUUGCAUUCAUAUAGUUCCCUAGCACAAUGCUAAUUCCCUGCUUCUGUCUAUAGAAAACAUUACAUGUUCCCACUCUACCCCAAUCAGUUAUAGAUUAAGGUCUGCCACGAGCACAGAGAGCAUCCUGGACCGAUGUCAAGAUUCAGCCUGGCUUAUUAUUUCAUUGCCAAAGAUAUUGUUUGCUACCCAGUGCAAGUUGCACUGUAAAUGUUGUCAGUAUGGUUAGAGAAUCUGUCUGCCUGUGUGCUAUAAAUCUACUGGUUGAGAGGAGCAUUAAUUUAGCAAGAAUUAACUAAGAAAAUAUUGCUGUCAAGUGAAAGAUGCCACAUAGCAGCAUGUAUUAUUCUGUUUGCCUGCAUACUCUGUUUCACUAGUUAUUUAGACUCUUAUAGAUUGUUGUUGGAGACAAACCCUAAUUAACAAUAAAUAUUACUUAUACCAUUUCCA